rnacentral:tRNA from 1 species
GCGAGCGUGGCGGAAUUGGUAGACGCAGCAGAUUUAGGUUCUGCCGCCUUUGGCGUGGGGGUUCGAGUCCCUCCGUUCGCACCA